ACCAUCUUUUCUUUAUUCUUUCUCGGGAAUUGGCUGCCUCUCUUACAAACCAAAGAAAGUAGUGUUAGGUUACGAAGGAGAGAGAGAGUCUUUCUGGUUGUAGAAACACUCGCCGGCGAUUGACGGAGAGAGAUCUGAAGUGGACUGUGACUGGGUCGGAGGAAACGACGGCUAUGAGAGACUGGGAAUCAAUUCAGCAAACAGGGAUUUCGAUUGAGGCUUCGACUAUUGCUCUUUUUUCUCUCCAAACACAGAACGUAAAGUAAUCAUUUUUUUUUGGUUUUGGUCGUCUUCUCCGGCGAGAGAGAGCAAUGGACUCUCCGGUAUCAAAAACCGAUUGCGUCGAAAGAGAAAUUCGUGGGUUCACCACGGCCAUCAACAACGACGGCUGAUUCAAAGGCGAUGAGAGGUUGUGGACUCGCUAAUCUGACAUGGGUCGGUGUUGAUAAAGUUGAGCUUCGUCAGAGUCUUAUGAUGCCUGAGUAUCUCCGUCUAGCUAUGCGUGACUGUAUCAAACGGAUUCAACCUGAUUUAUGUGUUCAUGCCCCAAUGGCUGUUUUCAUUAACCUCAAAUCUGGUGGUCGUCAUGGUCCUGUGCUUAAAGAGAGAGGCUUCAACUGUUGAUGUGCGAAGAACAGGUAUGGAUGCUCAAGUUGCAUAUGGCUACCAACAUCUUCGCAACACUAAACCAUAUCUUGCUCAAGGCCCUAUUUCUAAUAAGGUUCUUGUGAUUUUCGAGUAAGGAGACUGAGGUCCGUCGAAGGUGUUUUCAAUUGAGGCUUCAAGCAGGCUGUCGAUCCCGCAUUUGGUUCAACAUUCUAUUCCAUUUUCUGAGGCAGCAAAGAGUCUGCAGCUUGAUCCUUUGACCAUAAUUAGGCCUUCCAUACCUUUCCACUGUUCUUCAUGUGGUUUAGUUGGGAUUGCAUCGCUACUAAUGCUUGAGCUUCAUGAUCUGCAGCUUAGCUUGCGUCAUACUAUAGGCAACUUGAUGAAGAGAAGAUUCAGACAGCUGCAUAACAGUCUGCGGUUGGAGCCUUUGCUUCUUUCUCGCCAAUUAACGCCGUUACCAACUUAGGAAUUUGGUUCAGUAGCAAAAUAAUUGUAGGUCCAUGUAAUUGUGUCCUAGACAACUUCUACAUGUGAUGUUUCGUUUUUAAAUAUUUAGCCUUCUAGAACCUAAUUCAAGAGAAAGAUUUAUGUAUUGUUGCCUUCUAGAACAUGAUGAAAUUAGAAAAUGUUGACCUUUCACCAAAUAGAGCUGCGGUUUAACAUUCUA